UGGAGGCAGCAGUGAGGAAUAUUGGACAAUGGGCGAAAGCCUGAUCCAGCAAUGCCGCGUGAGUGAAGAAGGCCUUCGGGUUGUAAAGCUCUUUUACCCGGGAAGAUAAUGACCGUACCGGGAGAAUAAGCCCCGGCUAACUCCGUGCCAGCAGCCGCGGUAAUACGGAGGGGGCUAGCGUUGUUCGGAAUCACUGGGCGUAAAGCGUGCGUAGGCGGCCAUUCAAGUCAGAGGUGAAAGCCCAGGGCUCAACCCUGGAACUGCCUUUGAAACUAGGUGGCUGGAACACGGGAGAGGUGAGUGGAAUUCCGAGUGUAGAGGUGAAAUUCGUAGAUAUUCGGAAGAACACCAGUGGCGAAGGCGGCUCACUGGACCGUUGUUGACGCUGAGGCACGAAGGCGUGGGGAGCAAACAGGAUUAGAUACCCGAGUAGUCAC
rnacentral:rRNA from 1 species